rnacentral:rRNA from 1 species
GAUGAACGCUGGCGGCGUGCCUAAUACAUGCAAGUCGAGCGAACGGACGAGAAGCUUGCUUCUCUGAUGUUAGCGGCGGACGGGUGAGUAACACGUGGAUAACCUACCUAUAAGACUGGGAUAACUUCGGGAAACCGGAGCUAAUACCGGAUAAUAUUUUGAACCGCAUGGUUCAAAAGUGAAAGACGGUCUUGCUGUCACUUAUAGAUGGAUCCGCGCUGCAUUAGCUAGUUGGUAAGGUAACGGCUUACCAAGGCAACGAUGCAUAGCCGACCCGAGAGGGUGAUCGGCCACACGGGAACUGAGACACGGUCCAGACGCCUACGGGAGGCAGCAGUAGGGAAUCUGCCGCAAUGGGCGAAAGCCUGACGGAGCAACGCCGCGUGAGUGAUGAAGGUCUUCGGAUCGUAAAACUCUGUUAUUAGGGAAGAACAUAUGUGUAAGUAACUGUGCACAUCUUGACGGUACCUAAUCAGAAAGCCACGGCUAACUACGU